rnacentral:lncRNA from 1 species
ACACACGCACAGGAACACACACACAGAAUUGUACAACUAAUCUUGUGCGGACACACAAUUCAGUCUCAUUCAAAAUCCUAGCUUCUCUAACCCCAAAUCCUAAACCUAAACCUAAACCUAACCUUAACCCAAAAACCUAAUCUUAACACUAACCCUAGCUCCUAACCCUAACACUAAUUCUAACCUUAACCCUAAAACCCAUAAAAAUACUAUUUGACCUCGUGGGGAGUAACAAAAUGUCCCCAGUUGGUCAAAUUUCUGUUUACUAUUCUUGUGGGGAAUUCUGGUCCACACAAGAAUAGCUAAACACACACACAAACCUAUAUCAGCAGUAUUAAAUUAAUAGUUAGCUUUGUAAAGGUCAAUACAGAAAUAAUAUCAAGUUUGUUAUUCUGACAGAAUGUAGGUGUUAUUCUGAUAGAAUGUAGUUGUUAUUCUCAUAGAAUGUAGUUGUUAUUCUGAUAGAAGGUAGGUGUUAUUCUGAGAGAAGGUAGGCGUUAUCCUGAUAGAAUGUAGGUGUUAUUCUGAUAGAAUGUCGAUGUUUUUCUGAUAGAACGUAGGUGUUAUUCUGGUAGAAUGUAUGUGUUAUUCUGAUAGAAUGUAGGUGUUAUUCUGAUAGAAUGUAGGUGUUAUUCUGAUAGAAUGUAGGUGUUAUUCUGAUAGAAUGUAGAUGUUAUUCUGACAGAAUGUAAGUGUUUUUUUGUCACAGCUGUCUUCAAGAAUGGACCAAGGCGCAGCGGGAAUGUGGAUACUCAUAUUUUUAAUUCUAAAGAGUAAAGCAUCCACCGGAAAAACAAUAAACACGACAACAGGAACAGUCUUGCAGGCACACAAAACGCAAUGCAAGAACAACUACCCACAACCCCAAAGAAAAACACACACUACUAUAUAGGACUCCCAAUCAAAGGCAACUCAACACACCUGCCUUCAAUUGGGAGUCCUAAUCACCAACACAACACUUAACACACAAAAACCUGCCACGUCCUGACCAAAACUAAUACAAUUGCUCCCUCUGCUGGUCAGGACGUGACAUUUUAUGAUGGAAUACAGUUGUUAUUAUUGAUAGAAUGUAGGUGUUAUUAUGAUAGAAUGAAGGUGUUAUUCUGAUAGAAUGUAGGUGUUAUUCUGAUUGAAUGUAGGUGUUAUUCUGAUAGAAUGUAGGUGUUAUUCUGAAAGAAUGUAGUUGUUAUUCUGAUUGAAUGUAGGUGUUAUUCUGAUAGAAUGUAGGUGUUUUUCUGAUAGAAUGUAUGUGUUAUUCUGAUAUAAUGUUGAUGUUAUUCUGAUAGAAUGUAUGUGUUAUUCUGAUAGAAUGUAGGCGUUAUUCUGAUAGAAUGUAGGUGUUAUUCUGAUAGAAUGUAGGUGUUUUUCUGAUAGAAUGUAGGUGUUAUUCUGAUAGAAUGUAGGCGUUAUUCUGAUAGAAUGUAGGUGUUAUUCUGAUAGAAUGUAGGCGUUAUUCUGAUAGAAUGUAGGUGUUAUUCUGAUAGAAUGUAGGUGUUAUUCUGAUAGAAUGUAGCUGUAAUUCUGAUAGAACGUAG